rnacentral:rRNA from 1 species
GUGCCAGCAGCCGCGGUAAUACGUAGGUGGCAAGCGUUGUCCGGAUUUAUUGGGCGUAAAGCGAGCGCAGGCGGUUUCUUAAGUCUGAUGUGAAAGCCUUCGGCUCAACCGAAGAAGUGCAUCGGAAACUGGGAAACUUGAGUGCAGAAGAGGACAGUGGAACUCCAUGUGUAGCGGUGAAAUGCGUAGAUAUAUGGAAGAACACCAGUGGCGAAGGCGGCUGUCUGGUCUGUAACUGACGCUGAGGCUCGAAAGCAUGGGUAGCAAACAGGAUUAGAUACCCUGGUAGUCCAUGCCGUAAACGAUGAGUGCUAGGUGUUGGAGGGUUUCCGCCCUUCAGUGCCGCAGCUAACGCAUUAAGCACUCCGCCUGGGGAGUACGACCGCAAGGUUGAAACUCAAAGGAAUUGACGGGGGCCCGCACAAGCGGUGGAGCAUGUGGUUUAAUUCGAAGCAACGCGAAGAACCUUACCAGGUCUUGACAUCCUUUGACCACUCUAGAGAUAGAGCUUUCCCUUCGGGGACAAAGUGACAGGUGGUGCAUGGUUGUCGUCAGCUCGUGUCGUGAGAUGUUGGGUUAAGUCCCGCAACGAGCGCAACCCUUAUUACUAGUUGCCAGCAUUAAGUUGGGCACUCUAGUGAGACUGCCGGUGACAAACCGGAGGAAGAUGGGGACGACGUCAAAUCAUCAUGCCCCUUAUGACCUGGGCUACACACGUGCUACAAUGGAUGGUACAACGAGUUGCGAGACCGCGAGGUUUAGCUAAUCUCUUAAAACCAUUCUCAGUUCGGAUUGUAGGCUGCAACUCGCCUACAUGAAGCCGGAAUCGCUAGUAAUCGCGGAUCAGCAUGCCGCGGUGAAUACGUUCCCGGGCCUUGUACACACCGCCCGU